AUCCAGCUGAGUCCCAAAUAGGACGAAACACGCGUCAAACUGGAU
rfam:Schistosoma rodhaini strain Burundi genome assembly, scaffold: SROB_scaffold0001710